AUACGGAAGGUGCGAGCGUUAUCCGGAUUCAUUGGGUUUAAAGGGAGCGUAGGCGGAGCGCCAAGUCAGCUGUGGAAUCCCGCGGCUCAACCGUGGAACUGCAGUUGAAACUGGCGCCCUUGAGUGCACAUGAGGAUGGCGGAAUUCGUGGUGUAGCGGGGAAAUGCUUAGAUAUCACGAAGAACACCGAUUGCGUAGGCAGCUGACCAGACCGCAAAUGACGCUCAUGCACGAAAGUGCGGGGAUCGAACAGGAUUAGAUACCCUGGUAGUCCGCACAGUAAACGAUGAAUACUUGUUUUCGGCGAUAUAAUGUCGGAGGCAAAGCGAAAGCGAUAAGUAUUCCACCUGGGGAGUACGCCGGCAACGGUGAAACUCAAAUGAAUUGACGGGG
rnacentral:rRNA from 1 species